rnacentral:rRNA from 1 species
AGAAUCAACGCUGGCGGCGUGCCUCAGACAUGCAAGUCGAACGCGAAAGUCCCCUUCGGGGGGCAAGUAGAGUGGCGCACGGGUGAGUAACACGUAGGUAAUCUACCUUCGGGUGGGGAAUAACAACCGGAAACGGUUGCUAAUACCGCAUAAUGCAGCGGCACCUAAUGGUGACAGUUGUUAAAGCGGGGGAUCGCAAGAUCUCGCGCCUGAAGAGGAGCCUGCGGCGGAUUAGCUAGUUGGUAGGGUAACGGCCUACCAAGGCGACGAUCCGUA